GGCAGUAUUAGGGCCACUGAAGGAAACAAUUGAAUACUGAGAUAAAUGUCAGAAUUCUGACUUUAUUUAUUUUAUUUAUUUUCAGAAUUUUUUCUUCUUCAGUGGCCCUAAUACCCCUCCGUAUUAUGUAAUGUUAAACACUUCAAAUUAACUUUUGAAUUCAGCAGUUUAUCAUUGGAUUUAGAUGCAGAUAUCACUGUCUUGGAAAAUUGGUCAGAGCAAUUUGGCAUUGAGUUUGAUUAGUAAACUUGACAGUAUUUACACUCUUAAUCUUCUUAGGAAUUACAUGAUGUCCACACAAGGCGUACCACUGUUCCCCAUGCCCUUCCUGUCUAUCUACGUGAGGAAACCUCUGGAUUUUUGAGGACAUGUGUGGAUGAUACCAAUGAGCCGGACCUCGGAUGCAGCAGUUGUCCUCCUGACAACCAUCACCGAUGAUGCCGAGAGUCCAGUUACGUACGACCCAGUGAGAAUCUGUUAUCCUAGAGGGUGAUGUGAUUGUCAACCUCUCCAGCCUUCCUGAUGCCUUCCUGGGCAUGCUCAGUUGAAGUUUCCAUCUCUGCGCGUUCAAGAUGUAAGAAAAAUAAUAUGAAAGAAAUGCAACAAUGAAAACUUCAAAAAGGCAUCAACAACCAAGCAAGUGGAUCCAUAAAAUGGACUGAUUUUUUUAAAGGCAUUUUUAAAAAGUCUUUCAAAAUGGACAGAAUUAACGCGUCAUGUUCAGAACAGUUUGCGUUCUCAUCUUUGAUUAAUCCUGGUAAACAGGUCUGUUUUUGUUCUGUUCUAAUUCUUUCUGUUUAAUAAAUUUAAACAAAAUGACUUAGCUAUUUUAUUUAAUUUUUUUUUCUCUGCAUAAAGACGAAGUAUCAGUAAAUAGUGGAAAUUAAAUGUAUUGGUAGUAAGCAAAUAGCAGAUGUUAAAUGUUACUUGCAGUAUGUGUUUAUAGAAAAAAUAGAGAUACUUAAAUGUACUAAAAGAAUAUUACGUCAAGUUUACUGUAAAGUGUACUUUCAAAACUGUAAGUAUACUCAAUUAUAUAAGAAGUACACUACAAGUAAACAUACAUUAUUACUUUAAGUAUAAUUUUAAGUAUACUUUCAAAGAGAAAAGUAUACUCAAUUAUUUCAGAAGUGCACUACAAGUAAACUUAUAUGUUACUUAAA